UGAUAAUAAAGGCUGCAUUAAGCUUGCCGGUUUUGGGGCAUCUAAGCAAGUUGCCAAGUUGGGUCUGAUGAAGCAAGGUGCAAGACACCUCAGAACCGCCUAUGUUUGUGACAGUGCACUGGGGCUCAAGCGACAAUGAGCAGGUGGGAGGAUCGUUCAGCUGACCAAGUGCAGUAUGACGGUGAUCUCUAAACAGUUGCAAGGAGGCUAAUAACAUGUUAGCUCCUCUUAAUAUCUUGGUUGAUGCCAUCUGUCAGAUUUAGCCCACCGAGUCCCUAUUUUGCAUUUACUUUGCUUCUCUAAAGUUCUCUUCGUGCUGCAAGGAAGACGCGAGGGUGUCAUUCUGCUUCUCCUUGCAUGUCUAUUUGUGCGCUUGGGUUGCAGAUCAGGUUACUGACACAUGGGAUCGUACAGUUAUUCUAUUACUCAGGGCCUACCCUGGUGGUCAUUAUAUCUCUGGGUUAAGCAAGCUGAGCAGGU